rnacentral:rRNA from 1 species
GAUGAACGCUGGCGGCGUGCCUAAUACAUGCAAGUCGAGCGAACAGACGAGGAGCUUGCUCCUCUGACGUUAGCGGCGGACGGGUGAGUAACACGUGGAUAACCUACCUAUAAAACUGGGAUAACUUCGGGAAACCGGAGCUAAUACCGGAUAAUAUAUUGAACCGCAUGGUUCAAUAGUGAAAGACGGUUUUGCUGUCACUUAUAGAUGGAUCCGCGCCGCAUUAGCUAGUUGGUAAGGUAACGGCUUACCAAGGCAACGAUGCGUAGCCGACCUGAGAGGGUGAUCGGCCACACUGGAACUGAGACACGGUCCAGACUCCUACGGGAGGCAGCAGUAGGGAAUCUUCCGCAAUGGGCGAAAGCUUGACGGAGCAACGCCGCGUGAGUGAUGAAGGUCUUCGGAUCGUAAAACUCUGUUAUUAGGGAAGAACAAAUGUGUAAGUAACUAUGCACGUCUUGACGGUACCUAAUCAGAAAGCCACGGCUAACUACGUG